UCUUAUGGAUGAGCAAAUAAAGUAGUCUCUUGAGAUAGAUUCUACUCUUGGUGAAGGUGCUGUGAGAA
rnacentral:pre_miRNA from 1 species